UACGUAGGGGGCUAGCGUUGUCCGGAAUCAUUGGGCGUAAAGAGCGUGUAGGCGGUCCGGUAAGUCCGUUGUGAAAGUCAGGGGCUCAACCCUUGAAUGCCGGCGGAUACUGUCGGGCUAGAGUCCGGAAGAGGCGAGUGGAAUUCCCGGUGUAGCGGUGAAAUGCGCAGAUAUCGGGAGGAACACCUAUGGCGAAGGCAGCUCGCUGGGACGGUACUGACGCUGAGGCGCGAAAGCGUGGGGAGCAAACAGG
rnacentral:rRNA from 1 species